rnacentral:rRNA from 1 species
UGGUGGAGUGACUUGUCUGGUUAAUUCCUCGCAUUUCAUGUCGCCUCGGGCAGGUGGAAAAUUUCUCAGAGGAACUUUGUGUGACUAAUGCAAGGAAGUUUGAGGCAAUAACA